rnacentral:misc_RNA from 1 species
AACAUAUUCCUGGCCGGAGUCGAUACGGGAGCAAUAACCAUGGUUUGGGCCAUGGCAGAGCUUGCUAGACACCCUAGAGUUAUGAGAAAAGCACAAGAAGAAAUCAGAUCUUGCAUUGGAAAUAAAAGAACAGUCUCUGAAAAUGACAUUGAUAAGCUUGUAUACCUAAAGAUGGUAGUGAAAGAAACAAUGAGACUGCACCCACCAAGCACACUACUAGUUCCAAGAGAAACCAUGUCCAAAUUCAGCAUCAAUGGCUAUGAGAUUCAGCCCAAGACUCGAAUCCAAGUCAAUGUGUGGGCAAUAGGAAGGGACCCCAAGAUUUGGAGAAACCCAGAAGAGUUCUUUCCGGA